CCACUGCAGGGAUUUGGGCUUUUACUCUGAAGUGGAUGGGAAGCCACUGGCGGGAUCUGAGCAGAGAAGACAUGGGUCCCCUGCCCUCCAGCGAGCCUAGUUGAGCCCCAGCUGGACUCCAAGUCGAGCCUCUGCAGCCAGGUGUCCGCCAGAUGUCUUCCACGGCCAGCAAGGGAACCGCCUGGGCACGCGUCAGUCUGGCCUGUUUCCUGAUCCAGAAAAUUAUUUUCAGCUGCGCGUGACCUUCCACGGGGCCAGGACCGGAAAACUAGACAGCAGUGAUCUUUUUAAAACCGUGGACUCUAUGAACUAGGAAAGUCCCCUCCAAACUCGUCAACAGGAAUUCACUGCUUAUUGCAAACCCUGCUGAGACGCAGAGCGGAGAAAACAGGAGGUGCCCCAGUUUCUUCUCCCGGGUAAGACUGAGAGCUGUCCUUGAACCUGAUCGGCCAGAGAGAGUGCUGAGGAGAACCAGAGCAUCCCGUGGGGCUCCCUGGGCUGGGCUCUGCCAGGUGGGUUUCCCAGGAGA